rnacentral:tRNA from 1 species
AGGAUUAUAGUUUAAAAAAAACCCUUGAUUUGCAAUCAAAUAAUAUUGAAUUCUUCAAUUUAUCUUA